GACGAACGCUGGCGGCGUGCUUAACACAUGCAAGUCGAACGGAAAGGCCCUGCUUUUGUGGGGUGCUCGAGUGGCGAACGGGUGAGUAACACGUGAGUAACCUGCCCUUGACUUUGGGAUAACUUCAGGAAACUGGGGCUAAUACCGGAUAGGAGCUCCUGCUGCAUGGUGGGGGUUGGAAAGUUUCGGCGGUUGGGGAUGGACUCGCGGCUUAUCAGCUUGUUUGGGGGGUAGUGGCUUACCAAGGCUUUGACGGGUAGCCGGCCUGAGAGGGUGACCGGCCACAUUGGGACUGAGAUACGGCGCAGACUCCUACGGGAGGCAGCAGUGGGGAAUAUUGCACAAUGGGCGGAAGCCUGAUGCAGCAACGCCGCGUGCGGGAUGACGGCCUUCGGGUUGUAAACCGCUUUCGCAUGUGACGAAGCGUGAGUGACGGUAAUGGGUAAAGAAGCACCGGCUAACUACGUG
rnacentral:rRNA from 1 species